rnacentral:misc_RNA from 1 species
ACUUCAAGAAAGUUGUUGGAAUAAAGUUAGUUGUGUUCGAUAUGCUGACCACAGUUUCACUUGUUCUUAAUUUAACAUUCCUGGGUAUUUAAAGUUUAAUAAGCAAAAAUAUCAAAUUUUAGCAUGUUGUAUAUAUUUUGCUUGUAGAUAAUAUGUUCAAUAGUAUUUAGAACUGAAACUUUCGAAUGUUUCCAUUGGUUAAUGCAGACGUUGUUUCGUUUAUUAGAAAGCUACUUAUUUUCUACUGCAAUUCUCAUUUGUAAAUGGAACAUACUAAGAUUUGUUAUUAUUGAUUACAGUUGGUAUCUUUGGUUAUUUGUGGUUAUUUUCUUGCUGCUG